rnacentral:rRNA from 1 species
UACGGAGGAUCCGAGCGUUAUCCGGAUUUACUGGGUGUAAAGGGAGCGUAGACGGAGCAGCAAGUCUGAUGUGAAAACCCGGGGCUCAACCCCGGGACUGCAUUGGAAACUGUUGAUCUGGAGUGCCGGAGAGGUAAGCGGAAUUCCUAGUGUAGCGGUGAAAUGCGUAGAUAUUAGGAGGAACAUCAGUGGCGAAGGCGGCUUACUGGACUGAAACUGACACUGAGGCACGAAAGCGUGGGGAGCAAACAGG